rnacentral:RNase_P_RNA from 1 species
GGGAUUUCGAGCGCAACGAGAACAUCCCACUUAACUGCAUUUGAUCAAACUUUGGCAAAAGUUUGUGAGGAAAGUCCGCCCACUAAAAACAGGCCACUCUUCGGAGAUCUCGAAAGGGAUGGCAACCGCUCAGAAACGAGACCGCCACAUUGGAGGGUGAUGCUGGAGAAGGUUUUGGCGACAAAACCGAGAUAACCCGCGGACGCUCUUUGUGGAAUGGGUGAAACGGCGAGCCCUGGCCAGUGCAAGUCAUUAAGACGCUUAGUUAAAUGUUAAGGCAACCUGUUCCUUUGAAGGGAAGGUUGACAGAAGGCGGCUUACAGCUUCCC